ensembl:snRNA U1 U1 spliceosomal RNA
ACACGUACAUGGCAGAGGAAAUACUGCAGUCCCAAGAGUGGCCUUCCCAGGGCGCGGCUCGCCCGGUGCACUCCGGGCGCGCUGAGCCCUGCGGUUCCCCAGCUGUGGGAAGCUCCGCUGCACAACUUGUGGUAGUGGGGGCUGCAUCUGCACUCCUCCU